rnacentral:rRNA from 1 species
CCUACGGGCGGCAGCAGUGGGGAAUAUUGGACAAUGGGGGGAACCCUGAUCCAGCCAUGCCGCGUGUGUGAAGAAGGCCCUCGGGUUGUAAAGCACUUUCAGUGAGGAAGAACGCCUGGUGGUUAAUACCCAUCAGGAAAGACAUCACUCACAGAAGAAGCACCGGCUAACUCCGUGCCAGCAGCCGCGGUAAUACGGAGGGUGCGAGCGUUAAUCGGAAUUACUGGGCGUAAAGCGCGCGUAGGUGGCUUGAUAAGCCGGUUGUGAAAGCCCCGGGCUCAACCUGGGAACGGCAUCCGGAACUGUCAAGCUAGAGUGCAGGAGAGGAAGGUAGAAUUCCCGGUGUAGCGGUGAAAUGCGUAGAGAUCGGGAGGAAUACCAGUGGCGAAGGCGGCCUUCUGGACUGACACUGACACUGAGGUGCGAAAGCGUGGGUAGCAAACAGGAUUAGAUACCCUAGUGUC